rnacentral:rRNA from 1 species
UACGUAGGGUGCGAGCGUUGUCCGGAAUUACUGGGCGUAAAGAGCUCGUAGGCGGUUUGUCGCGUUGUUCGUGAAAACUCACAACUCAAUUGUGGGCGUGCGGGCGAUACGGGCAGACUGGAGUACUGCAGGGGAGACUGGAAUUCCUGGUGUAGCGGUGGAAUGCGCAGAUAUCAGGAGGAACACCGAUGGCGAAGGCAGGUCUCUGGGCCACUACUGACGCUGAGAAGCGAAAGCAUGGGGAGCGAACAGG